rnacentral:rRNA from 1 species
CCUACGGGUGGCUGCAGUGGGGAAUAUUGGACAAUGGGCGCAAGCCUGAUCCAGCAAUGCCGCGUGUGUGAAGAAGGCCUUCGGGUUGUAAAGCACUUUUAUCAGGAGCGAAAUGCCAUGGGCCAAUACCCCGUGGAGCUGACGGUACCUGAGGAAUAAGCACCGGCUAACUUCGUGCCAGCAGCCGCGGUCAUACGAAGGGUAAUUACGUUAAUCGGAAUUACUGGGCGUGAAGGGUGCAGUGUCGGGUGAAAUCCCCGGGCUCAACCUGGGAAUGGCAAUGGAUACUGGCGGGCUAGAGUGUGUCAGAGGAUGGUGGAAUUCCCGGUGUAGCGGUGAAAUGCGUAGAGAUCGGGAGGAACAUCAGUGGCGAAGGCGGCCAUCUGGGACAACACUGACGCUGAAGCACGAAAGCGUGGGGAGCAAACAGGAUUAGAUACCCGUGUAGUC